CCAGAGAAAAGGGAACUUCAGGAAGCAGGCAGUGCCACCGGUUUCAGUCCUGUUCUUAGUGUUCGCAGGGUUGCGGGCAGUCAGCUCACAUCUACGGGAAUCCAGCCAAGAAAUCCUAGGAACUGGGGCUGCAGGCACAGAGAUCAGCCUGGAGGAGCGCAGGUGCCUGGGGCCAGAGGAGGGAAGGGGUGGCGGCAGCACGGAGACCCAGGCUGCAGGGGAGCCACCUCCAUGGCUUCCACCUUCGCCUCCACCAAGGCCCCAUCGGUCUAUCCUCUGACUGCUAGAUGCGGGGACACGCCUGGCUCCACGGUGGCCUUCGGCUGCCUGGUCUGGGGCUACAUCCCUGAGCCGGUGACGGUGACCUGGAACUCGGGCGCCCUGUCCAGCGGCAUCCACACCUUCCCAUCUGUUCUCAUGUCCUCGGGGCUCUACUCACUCAGCAGCUUAGUGACUCUGCCCGCCAGCAGCUCGUCCGGCAAGAACUUCAUCUGCAACGUAGCCCACCCGGCCAGCAGCACUAAGGUGGACAAGCGUGUGGAACUCGAGAUAUCUGAACCUCAACCACAACCAGGAUGCACGUGUCCAAAAUGCCCAGCCCCUGAGCUCCCGGGAGGGCCCUCCGUCUUCGUCUUCCCCCCGAAACCCAAGGACGUCCUCUCCAUUUCUGGGAGGCCCGAGGUCACGUGCGUUGUGGUGGACGUGGGCCAGGAAGACCCCGAGGUCAAUUUCAACUGGUACAUUGAUGGCGUUGAGGUGCGAACGGCCAACACGAAGCCAAAGGAGGAACAGUUCAACAGCACGUACCGCGUGGUCAGCGUCCUGACCAUCCAGCACCAGGACUGGCUGACGGGGAAGGAGUUCAAGUGCAAGGUCAACAACAAAGCUCUCCCGGCCCCCAUCGAGAGGACCAUCUCCAAGGCCAAAGGGCAGACCCGGGAGCCGCAGGUGUACACCCUGGCCCCACACCGGGAAGAGCUGGCCAAGGACACCGUGAGCGUAACCUGCCUGGUCAAAGGCUUCUACCCAGCUGACAUCAACAUUGAGUGGCAGAGGAACCGACAGCCAGAGUCAGAGGGCGCCUACGCCACCACGCUGCCCCAGCUGGACAACGACGGGACCUACUUCCUCUACAGCAAGCUCUCGGUGGGAAAGAACACGUGGCAGCGGGGAGAAACCUUCACCUGUGUGGUGAUGCACGAGGCCCUGCACAACCACUACACCCAGAAAUCCAUCACCCAGUCUUCGGAGCCACUCCUGGAGGAGGAGAGCUGUGCCGAGGCCCAGAGCGGGGAGCUGGACGGGCUGUGGACCACCAUCUCCAUCUUCAUCACCCUCUUCCUGCUCAGCGUGUGCUACAGCGCCACAGUGACCCUCUUCAAGGUGAAGUGGAUCUUCUCCUCGGUGGUGGAGCUGAAGCGGACGAUCGUCCCAGACUACAGAAACAUGAUCGGGCAGGGGGCCUAGCGUGUCCUCUGGGGGUGUCCACGGACACCCCAGGCCCCAGAGGUACCCCGAUCAUCGCUCCGAGCUGCUCAGCCACUACUCCGCCCGCUGCCCUGCCAGCUCUGAACUCUCGGCCAUGUUCACCCGCACCUCCAUCCUGAGACCUCACGGCCACCACCGACCACACCCUGCACCCUGCCCACCUUCAGGGGACCAAGUGGACAGCAGGUGCUACCACCAACCUGAGCUGAGGGGUCUCCCUGUGCUCACCGGGAGUGCCCGGGGCACCCUGGGGUUCCUCUGGACGAGCAGGAAGCUGGCAUCCCGGGGCAGUGGGCUCGGCCCGCUCUCUGUGGACACUCUCGGGCCUGGUGACCAAGGACAGUUCCAAAAAGGAGGCACACUGUGUGAGAUGUCUGGUGGAACAGUGCUGCCCCGGCCGACCUCACUCAGCAGGGAAGCCUCUGGAUGUGCCACCAACGUUCAGCCAAGUGCUCAGCUCUGAGAAGGACCUGGGUCCAUGGCCCCUACAGCAGCCAGCUCUGCCAGGAAGGGGGUGACGUUUCCUCGCCAGAGCUUCCCAGAGACGGGCCUGGAGAACGGGUCCCCCACGGGCAGAACGCAGCCUCGCUGGACAGAGCAAGAGGGACACUGGCAAAAAGGGCACUGGCCUCAGCCACCCUAUCCCGUGGCCAGCGGCCUGAGACACCUUCAGCAGGAGCACACUGCACUGGGCGGUGUGGUGAGAGGCGAGCCCCGGGAGGAGGGAGCCCGACAGCCUGGCGUCCCGGCCCCAGACCCCUGGGCCUCUCCUGUCUUCUCCCUGGAUGGGGAGGGGCAGGCCCCACUGUCGGGUGGUGGCGGGGGAGGGGGGGCGCUACAGCCAGAGGUCACGCCAGGCCUGGCUUGGGAAGCUGUGCAUCCUUUCUAAACGUCUGGCGCCCACGAACUUUCUGCGCUGUUUAUCUUUGGUUGGGUUUUUUGUUGGGAGACUCUGGCUUGUCAUGUUUUGGGUUGUUCAGACAAUAAAGCAUCCUUUACCAUUC